rnacentral:lncRNA from 1 species
UAAUCAUUAUUUUAGAGAAUGAAAUGGGAUUGUAGAUGUUCUUUCUAAUUAUUGGCACGCCUCGUCAUGAAGGAAAUAGUUUUUACAUGAGAGCGAGCUCCCUAGAGAUGGAAUUGGUCCACUUAGAAUGAAGAAAAUGAAGCUACCAUCCAUCCUUUUGAAGAAGGAAAAAAAAAAAGCACUCCUCUUCAUGCUGUUACAAUCCCCCAU